CUCUCAAGACUUCUCUCUUUUCUCUCACUAUGUUAUAUGUUUUCCAUGUAGAAUUGAUGUAUUUCAUCACUUCAAAUCGGUUCUUCUUCAACGUUGGUCGAUAGCUCUUCAUCAUUAUCUUUGUACAGGUUAGAUUUUUCCAUUUUAAUUAGUUGAUUUUUUCGAAAAUUUUAUGGGUCUUUUAUAUUGAGAAAGAUUGAAUCAGGGUAAUGUGCAUAAACUUCCAUAGCUUAUUUUGUAUUACUAAUUUAGUACUUCUCUCAUUGAUUUGUAUCCAUAGUUUGCACAUCAUUUUUCAUGCAUGUCUCUUUUUUAUCGUUUAACAUUUUUCAACUUUAUAUUUGUCAGGAAACAUGGGAUUGUGAAAUAGCUAUUACAAAUUACUGCAAGUGAGUGUUUCGAUAAUUCUUGCUCAAAUUUUAUUCAGAAAUUUCUGUAAGUUGGACGCAACAAAUUUAUGUUGUAAGUCACUGUAACCCGCAUUGAGUGCUAGACCUAGCAUUGCAGGGGAAAUAGUUGCUUCUAAACUCAUAAAUCCCCAUUUUGUUGUGUAUUAAGGUUGAGGUCUCAUGUUGGAGCAGAGAUUGCACUGUUGAGUUUUCUUGCUUGAAGUUAUUUUGAUUUAUUUUCCUAUCAUGGACAUAGAUAAGUAACUUUCAAAAAGUAUUCGAACUAAUAAUAAUAAUAAUUAUUGUUCAACAAAUAUUCAAUGGAACUUUGAGUGCACUGCCAUUGUGUAUUGCAGCUAAUGAAAAUGAAUAGAAAAAUUAUGAUAUUUAUAUGUAGUUGGCUUUUUGUGAAGAGGCAUAUCACAAAUAGUCUAAUGAGAAAUCAUAUGUUUACAUUCAUAGUUACAAACGAGAUCAGCUUGGCCUGAGUCUUAAACGAACAAUAGAUUUUUUGACAUAAAAACUGGCAAGUUCUAAAGAUUGUUGUUUUAUAAUUUUAGUAUAUGUUGAUAUCUGCUUACAUUUUACAUUUCACCUUAGUAACUGAUGCAAGCAGGUAUACAUAUAGGAAGUUCUUUUUUAUUUAGAUGGCCCAAUAACUCUUACCUUUUCGCUAAUAACUUCUCUCGCACUAUGUAGCAGUAUUAUUCAAUUUGUUCUGAACCAUCUUCCCUCCUAAUGAUGAUGAUAUUUUAAUAGGCUGAGUUGCUUUUAAAGUUGUUAUGAAUAUGUUAUGCAUGAUUUACAAAUUGUGAUUAGAAUAGUUUCAGUUACAAGGACUGAAAAAUGUUAAAGCUUCUCCCCAUAAUUUUUGCUUCUUCCUUUUGAAAUUAAUCGACAUAGAAAUAUAAUAACUACGUUUGCAAUCUCUCCGCCCAAAAUUAGUUCAAAAUCUUAGUAAGUUCAAAAUCUUAGAAAGUGAGGUAAUUGUUAUAAUAUUUAGUUUCAUAUUUUAGCCUGAGCUUUACGUUUCAAGUCGGGACUCCUUCUAUGCUUCUAUCGUGUCACAGAAUUUUCCAAGCAAGAAAACUUUUAACUUUUGGUGUUUCAACUUACUCCAUGUAAUUUUUUUGUCUUCACAUCCGAGUCGAGCAUUGUACUUGUGCACGAAAAUUAGAGUUGUGAUUAUAUCAUCUGAAUCUUUUUUUAUUUCUGGCUGCUCCUUGAUUUGCAUGCUAUUUAGAAAAGAUCAUGGUAAAUUUUGAAUGUGUGCUUGACCGAAAUAUAUAUCACCAAUUAUUUCACUAUUACUGUUUCACCAGCCUUUGGUGAAGUGCGAGAAUUUAUUUGGGAAAUUUAUAUUAAUUUCAGAGUUUCCUUGAUGUUACCUUUUUAAUUAUAAGCAUCCUUCAAUUUAAUAUAUUGUUCAAAGAUUUGAAUACAUGUUCUCCUAUGUAAUUGAAAAUUUAAGUUGAUUACUCGAGCAAGUAUUUGGCAGAAGAAUAGUUUUAACAUUUUGUUUCAGUAUCUUGGUCAUUAUGCUACUAUAUUUUCUAGAUUCUUCUUUCUUCUUUCAAAAUGUUAGAUUAGUUGACUGAUAUUUCCAUAUUUUUCCAAGAUACUUCAGGAUCCCCUUAUGCACAACUCCAGCACAACACUGUGGUUGUUGAAUUAGGAUAUGCCUAUGAUGUACUUGAAGAUAUGAGCAGUUAUGAUUUGAGUAUGUUAUGUCUAUUGAAGAGGGGUAUAAUGAGAAUGUCGCAUUCGGUGUUGAGGAUUUGAUGCACAACAACCCUGCAAUGAAAAAGAGACGUAUCAUUCAAGGUUAAUUUUCGUUUGUUGUUGGUCAUUGCACUUCCUGAUUUUUAAAGUAUUUUUCCAGUUUCAUAUUAAGUGUUGCAUGCAGUAGUUGCUUGCACUGCUGCAACAUUGUCACGAGAGGGGUAUUUUGCACAAAGAUUUUAUGGUAUCUGCUUUGUUGAUUGAUAAAUAUAGGAUGCUAAAAAUCGUUGGUUCUAGGUUCACAAAUUCUUUUAAUUCUGAAAAAGAGCAUCCUAUUUCAAGUCAAGUUGUCACAUUUUGGUAAAGAGCUUUAGAACUUCUACUAAGUGCUACAAAUUAUGAAAUAUGUAUUGAUUUUUGGAGUGCAGACCGCCUCAUGGCUGAAAUGUUUGCGGGCAAAAAACACUCAUCCAUGAAUUCGACUUACAUUGUUGGGGAAGUUAGAUGGACUAUGACUGGAGUUCAAGUGCAGUAAAGGAAAAGACUGAGAAAAUAUUAAUUAGUGGGAGGUACGCAAUAUGUAUUUUUAUAUUCAUUUUUUGUAUAAGGUUAUAUCAUAUGUUUCAAGUAUUUAGUUUGCUUAUACUUUAGGACUCUGUAUACAUCUUUUGAUUGUAAAUAAUAAUUUUCUCUACUUUUUGUGUAUUUGAUGUAUACUCAUUCAAAAGAGAGAGUUCAUAUAUUUUUAAAGAAGAGACUCAACUGGACCAUGUGCCGUCGUAUUUUUCAUUGCUUAGGAGAAAACGAAAUAUUCUUAUUAUAUUUCUAGGAAAAGCACAACUGAUUGGUUGGGACCUUAUAAGAUGUUGUUCUUGAUAAUUUUGAGAAGACAUAGGAUAUAUAUUUGUAUCUGGCGUAAAACACUUUCACAGUGUCUUUCAUUGUAGGUGUCAUGUCCCUUCUCAAUUUGGAGGAAAGAUGAGAAUGUGCGGCAUCUCUACUUGAACUAUUUGCUAUAAAUAGUGGAAUACUUCUCUUGAUAUGAUAUAUGUAAAAACUGUAUCAUGUUCUAAUUUUCUAAUUUUAAUAAUUGCGAGCAUCUGAAUGUUGAACUAAUUUUUCAAACAAUAUUUUUUGUUAUUUUGUAAAUAAAAGGGAACAUUUAACCA
rnacentral:lncRNA from 1 species